GUCUCCUGUGUCCUGUUUCAUUGGAGCUGCGCCGGUCAACUGGUGGCCCGUACGGGGAGCCCGGAGCACUGAGACCCUCUCUCCGACAGUACGAGGAGAGCUGAGACCCUCUCUCCGAUGGAACAGAGACGUUAACAGGAAGAAGGCAGCGAACCUGUCUGGGUCCCGGAACGCCUGAUACGUCCCUGCAAACCACCAGACCCCGACCCAGAGGAAACGUCAACCACAGAACAGGGGAACCAACAGGAGCCUCACAAGCCAGACCUAGCAAGUAUACCCACAACUCCCAUUAACUAUGGCACCUUGGCCAACUCCCCUGGUUAGUAGCCUCCUUUUCCCCUCCUUCUUGCAUCUCGUACGGCCCUUGCAGCCAAUGACUUUUCUAAAUUGCUCCACCGCAACCUGUUAUAUGUUAUAAUGUUGGGAUAACAGUGCACUUUCAGCUGUUGUUAUGCAGGUACUCCAGUUCGCACCGGUUCCAGUUAUGGCGGACUCAGACGAGUUUCCUGUGAUCCAGCUCGGGCCAACUCUCCAAUUGGCUUUCAUAAAGGAAUGGGCAGAAAUAGGGGCUCUGGCUACCAUGACUACACUUGCCGCAUUCGGCAGUCUACUUCUGCUCUGUCGGAUUCGCAGACAAAGGAAUAGGGACAAAGUAUCAAACAAGCAUUGCUGAUCAUGGAAUCUGGUCAAAGCCCGGCAGCAUGGCUCGCCAUGCUGUGACGCAGGUGUGGAGCAAAGCAUCGCAGGGGGUGUCGUCCUUGGCCAGGAGACACCCCGGUCCCCAUGUCGGUGAGCAUGCGGGUUGGGCUCAUAAAACAAUACUCCCGCCCCCUCCAAAAGAGCACCAA